rnacentral:rRNA from 1 species
GAGUUUGAUCAUGGCUCAGAUUGAACGCUGGAGGCGUGCUUAACACAUGCAAGUCGCGCGAGAAAGGGACUUCGGUCCUGAGUAGAGCGGCGCACGGGUGAGUAACGCGUGGGUGAUCUCCCCUGGUGAUCGGGAUAACAGCUGGAAACGGCUGCUAAUACCGGAUAAUCUUCAUGUUUAGCUUCAUGGGGUAAAGGUGGCCUCUGCUUGCAAGCUACCACAUCAGGAUGAGCCCGCGUCUCAUUAGCUAGUUGGUGGGGUAACGGCCUACCAAGGCGACGAUGAGUAGCUGGUCUGAGAGGAUGACCAGCCACACUGGGACUGGAACACGGCCAGACUCCUACGGGAGGCAGCAGUGGGGAAUAUGCGCAAUGGGCGAAAGCCUGACGCAGCGACGCCUCGUGAGGGAUGAAGGUCUUCGGAUCGUAAACCUCUGUCAAGAGGAAGAAACCAUUGGAGUCGAACAGGCUUCUUUGCUGACGGUACCUCUGAAGGAA